rnacentral:miRNA from 1 species
AAGCGAAACCAGGAUUAUUCAUAAUAAGUUUUUAGACGUUGUCUGGUUUUUAAAUAUUUAUUAUUACGAGAUUUCGAGCAGUCUUCAACGGGUGGAUUACAUUACCCGUUGAAGACUGCAGACUGGCAGUCGAAAGGUCGCAAAAAUAAACAUUUAAAAACCGGAGAACGUCUAAAAACUUAUUAUGUCGGGUUUUACUU